GCGAUUCGCCCUUCGGGGUGCCCAGGCGCGAAAACUUUGCAAUACACGAAAGUGUGACAGGGCUAUCCCGAGUGCCAUCCGCUGAGGAAGGCUUUUACCCAGUCUAGAACGCUGGGGGAAUAAGGAGAGGGCAAGUCUGGUGUCAGCCGCCGCGGUAAUACCAGCUCUCCGAGUGGUGUGGAUGUUUAUUGGGCCUAAAGCAUCCGUAGCUGGCUAAGUUAGUCCCUUGUUAAAUCCACCGAAUUAAUCGUUGGAUUGCGGGGGAUACUGCUUGGCUAGGGGACGAGAGAGGCAGACGGUAUUUCCGGGGUAGGGGUGAAAUCCUAUAAUCCCGGGAAGACCACCAGUGGCGAAGGCUGUCUGCUAGAACGCGCCCGACGGUGAGGGAUGAAAGCUGGGGGAGCGAACCGGAUUAGAUACCCGGGUAGUCCCAGCUGUAAACGAUGCAGGCUAGGUGUUUGGACGGCCACGUGCCGUUCUAGUGCCGCAGGGAAGCUGUUAAGCCUGCCGCCUGGGGAGUACGAUCGCAAGAUUGAAACUUAAAGGAAUUGGCGGGGGAGCAC
rnacentral:rRNA from 1 species